rnacentral:rRNA from 1 species
UACGAAGGGGGGCUAGCGUUGCUCGGAAUGACUGGGCGUAAAGGGCGCGUAGGCGGUUCAUACAGUCAGAUGUGAAAUUCCUGGGCUCAACCUGGGGGCUGCAUUUGAUACGUGUGGACUAGAGUGGGGAAGAGGGUCGUGGAAUUCCCAGUGUAGAGGUGAAAUUCGUAGAUAUUGGGAAGAACACCGGUGGCGAAGGCGGCGACCUGGUCCUUGACUGACGCUGAGGCGCGAAAGCGUGGGGAGCAAACAGG